rnacentral:ncRNA from 1 species
GCUUUGGAGAGCCCCGCUGGAACGAAGCGGGCGCCGAAGGUGUACGGCGGAAGUGUGUAUCCGCUAAUCUCUCAGGCAAAAGGACAAAGGAGGAA